GCCCUGAUGGUCUAGUGGUAGGAUUCUCCCUUCGGGUUUUCACACAAUCCCGAACUUGAUUACAAGAGUUCGAAAUUGGGAGAGGUCCCCGGUUCAAAUCCGGGUUAGGGCC